AACGUAGGAGGCAAGCGUUAUCCGGAAUCACUGGGCGUAAAGGGCGCGUAGGCGGCCUGGCAAGUGGAUGGUGAAAUCCCUCGGCUUAACCGAGGAACUGCCAUCCAGACUGCUUGGCUUGAGACCGGGAGAGGUGAGUGGAAUUCCCAGUGUAGCGGUGAAAUGCGUAGAUAUUGGGAGGAACACCAGUGGCGAAGGCGGCUCACUGGACCGGUACUGACGCUGAGGCGCGAAGCGUGGGAGCAAC
rnacentral:rRNA from 1 species